rnacentral:rRNA from 1 species
UACGUAGGGUGCGAGCGUUGUCCGGAAUUAUUGGGCGUAAAGGGCUCGUAGGCGGUUUGUCGCGUCGGGAGUGAAAUCCACUGGCUUAACUGGUGGCUUGCUUUCGAUACGGGCAGACUGGAGGUAUGCAGGGGAGGACGGAAUUCCUGGUGUAGCGGUGAAAUGCGCAGAUAUCAGGAGGAACACCGGUGGCGAAGGCGGGUCUCUGGGCCGAUACUGACGCUGAGGAGCGAAAGCGUGGGGAGCGAACAGG